rnacentral:rRNA from 1 species
CCUACGGGUGGCAGCAGUGAGGAAUAUUGGUCAAUGGGCGCGAGCCUGCACCAGCCAAGUAGCGUGAAGGAUGACUGCCCUACGGGUUGUAAACUUCUUUUAUAAAGGAAUACAGUGAGGCACGUGUGCCUUUUUGAAUGUACUUUAUGCAUAAGGAUCGGCUAACUCCGUGCCAGCAGCCGCGGUAAUACGGAGGAUCCGAGCGUUAUCCGGAUUUAUUGGGUUUAACGGGAUCUUAGAUGGGUUGUUAAGGCAGGUGUGAAAGUUUGCGGCUCAACCGUACAAUUGCAAUUGAUACUGGCAGUCUUGAGUACAGUUGAGGUAGGCGGAAUUCGUGGUGUAGCGGUGAAAUGCUUAGAUAUCACGAAGAACUCCGAUUGCGAAGGCAGCUUACUAAACUGCCACUGACAUUGAUGCUCGAAAGUGUGGGUAUCAAACAGGAUUAGAUACCCGGGUAGUC